rnacentral:tRNA from 1 species
GGAUAGCUCAGUUGGUUUGAGCUUGGUACUGAUAAUACCAAGGUUGCAGGUUUGAUCCCCGUAUGGGACA